AAUAGAUACCCGGGUAGUCCACGCCGUAAACGAUGAGUGCUAAGUGUUAGAGGGUUUCCGCCCUUUAGUGCUGCAGCUAACGCAUUAAGCACUCCGCCUGGGGAGUACGGCCGCAAGGCUGAAACUCAAAGGAAUUGGCGGGGGCCCGCACAAGCGGUGGAGCAUGUGGUUUAAUUCGAAGCAACGCGAAGAACCUUACCAGGUCUUGACAUCCUCUGCCACUCCUAGAGAUAGGACGUUCCCCUUCGGGGGACAGAGUGACAGGUGGUGCAUGGUUGUCGUCAGCUCGUGUCGUGAGAUGUUGGGUUAAGUCCCGCAACGAGCGCAACCCUUGAUCUUAGUUGCCAGCAUUCAGUUGGGCACUCUAAGGUGACUGCCGGUGACAAACCGGAGGAAGGUGGGGAUGACGUCAAAUCAUCAUGCCCCUUAUGACCUGGGCUACACACGUGCUACAAUGGAUGGUACAAAGAGCUGCGAACCCGCGAGGGUAAGCCAAUCUCAUAAAGCCAUUCUCAGUUCGGAUUGU
rnacentral:rRNA from 1 species